GUUAAGCGACUAAGCGUACACGGUGGAUGCCCUGGCAGUCAGAGGCGAUGAAGGGCGUGCUAAUCUGCGAUAAGCGCCGGUAAGGUGAUAUGAACCGUUAUAACCGGCGAUACCCGAAUGGGGAAACCCAGUGUGAUUCGUCACACUAUCAUUAACUGAAUCCAUAGGUUAAUGAGGCGAACCGGGGGAACUGAAACAUCUAAGUACCCCGAGGAAAAGAAAUCAACCGAGAUUCCCCCAGUAGCGGCGAGCGAACGGGGAGGAGCCCAGAGCCUGAAUCAGCAUGUGUGUUAGUGGAAGCGUCUGGAAAGGCGCGCGAUACAGGGUGACAGCCCCGUACACAAAAGCGCAUGUGCUGUGAGCUCGAUGAGUAGGGCGGGACACGUGGUAUCCUGUCUGAAUAUGGGGGGACCAUCCUCCAAGGCUAAAUACUCCUGACUGACCGAUAGUGAACCAGUACCGUGAGGGAAAGGCGAAAAGAACCCCGGCGAGGGGAGUGAAAAAGAACCUGAAACCGUGUACGUACAAGCAGUGGGAGCCCCACCACCAAAGCAUUCUCUGGUGU
rnacentral:rRNA from 1 species